ACGGGCACGGACGCCCGUGGUUUCUAACAGAAUCGAUGUUUUAAAGCAGAGUGGUUUGUAAAGCUUUAAAACUCGUGGUUUAGUUUUUGACACGGAUGUCAAAAACUAAACCUGG
rnacentral:sRNA from 1 species